rnacentral:lncRNA from 1 species
UAUCGGUGUCACCGAGUUGUGUCAUCUGACCGUUAGCCACCUUUUAGGUGCCACCGAGUUGUGUAUAUCAGUUCCAUCGAGAUUCAAAAGUUGUUGCCUUUAGUACAAGUCGGUACCACCGAGUUCAUGACUUCGGUGUCACCGAGUUGGUCACUUUAGGUGUAAUGAUUGGAUUUUGGGGGCUGCCUAUAUAUACCCCUCCACCCAUCUCUCAUUCGUGGGAGAAGCACUCAAAACACACACUUCAUUGUCAGAUCCAUUUUUCUGAGACAGAACCACCUACUCAUGUGU